rnacentral:rRNA from 1 species
UAUGGCCAUACCACCCUGAAAGCACCCAAUCUAGUCUGAUCUCGGAAGCUAAGCAGGGUCAAGCCUGGUUAGUACUUGGAUGGGAGAAGAGAACUGGUUCAAGUUUUAA